rnacentral:ncRNA from 12 species
CUCGUACAUCCGGAGUGGCGCGGUAACGCGCCCGGCAACCCCGGCAACACGCCAGGGUGCCCCGAUGCCAGGGACGUCGACCCCAUGAGGGCACGUCGCAGUCCGGCAUCGAUGUGGCGACAGCAGGUGCUGUCGCAAGCGCGUGUUCCAUG